rnacentral:rRNA from 1 species
UACGUAGGGUGCGAGCGUUGUCCGGAAUUAUUGGGCGUAAAGGGCUCGUAGGCGGUUUGUCGCGUCGGGAGUGAAAACACCGGGCUUAACUCGGUGCUUGCUUUCGAUACGGGCAGACUAGAGGCAUGCAGGGGAGAACGGAAUUCCUGGUGUAGCGGUGAAGUGCGCAGAUAUCAGGAGGAACACCGGUGGCGAAGGCGGUUCUCUGGGCAUGUCCUGACGCUGAGGAGCGAAAGUGUGGGGAGCGAACAGG